rnacentral:rRNA from 1 species
UACAGAGGGUGCGAGCGUUAAUCGGAAUUACUGGGCGUAAAGCGUGCGUAGACGGUCAUGUAAGUCGGAUGUGAAAGCCCCGGGCUCAACCUGGGAAUUGCAUUCGAGACUGCAUGGCUUGGGUGCGGAAGAGGGAAGCGGAAUUUCCGGUGUAGCGGUGAAAUGCGUAGAUAUCGGAAGGAACACCAGUGGCGAAGGCGACCACCUGGACUGAUACUGACACUGAGGUGCGAAAGCGUGGGGAGCAAACAGG